rnacentral:misc_RNA from 1 species
ACUGUUUUUUUUUGUUAUAAAAAAAAAAUCUCAUCGUCUGGCUGAACAUGGAUCAUCUUGGGCAUCAACCUAUCAUCUUACCACACCUACGAGUUCUCAACUUACUACCAGCUAUAGUCAUCAGGGUGGCAGAGACAGGGUAAGAUCCAAAACCCUUGAGUCUUGGAAAUCGGCUCGGGUCUGGUAUAAGUAUGGUGAGUCCCAGUAUUUGAAAUUUCUCGACUUCUAUGCCAGCUCACGCGAUGGUGAACGUUGGCAUUAGAGUCGUCGAAUUUUCUGAUGUCUCCUUUCCAUUAUUUUACUACGUGUGGUGGAUCUCUGAUUUUUAAUAUGAUUUUCUAGAUCAGGUAAUUGUAAGGUUUCACAGCAAUUCCAAGUGAUCAUUUGAGUAUAAGAGUUCAUCAACUUGCAUUAUUUUAUUUCCCACAAUAUUUGAGUUGAUUUUUUCUUUCUGUGGAUGAUAUAUUUUUCACAUGGCCCCUCAGAUUUCUUUGGUGAGAUCUAGUAGAUCCUUUCGCAUUUUAUAAUUCACAAACUGAGGUGGACGUUGAGUUCGAAGAAAUCGCAUCGAAGAGAAUCGCCGACAGCCACGUCACAAAUUGUAUGUAUUUUGUAAAACCUUCUCUUUUCCAUUCCUGAUGCUGAUUUGAAUGGAAGGAUGCGAUUUUAAAUUGCAUUCCUUCGAUUCCUAUUAGCAAAAAUAUUCCAAGUCUGACGCUGCUCGCGCAAGCAUAGCGCGAAGGCGAGGAAUCAUAUUGAUGGUGUUUGCUUGAUAUUCUUUAUUGUGUUGUCCUUAAGGAUUCUGAGAAAUUUUUGAAAACGAAACUUGCCAUUUUGCAGGACAGUUUAAAAGCUUGACUGAUUUUGGCGAUGGGAAUAUGUACUGAAAUUUUCUCUCAGGAGUUUAAACAGAAAGAAGACUACAUUUAUGCAUAAUAAACAUACUAAAUGGUACUACUGAAUAUUCUGCAGUCUUUCUGUAAAUCUGAUAUUUUUCUCUGAUAGAAUCGGAUGCAUGCAUACGUUGACUGAACAUUUGUAAGUCAACGAUGCAAAUUCGUGUCCAUUCUUUAUCGUGAGUUGGCGGUGUAAAUUUAAAUCUGCCGGAAACCAUAUGAUCAUGGCGCAGCCUUCGUCUGCGGCUGUCAUUACCGCUUCGGAGUUUGACAGAUACUUAACCUGUGUUUUCUUUCGUAAACAAACAGGUUAUACGUUCUACUUUUAUUGGGGGUUGUUUUUUUCCUGAAAAAAGUCGCAAAAAAGUCCACUCGUUCAGCGUAAAUGAAAGUGAAAAGGAAUCACGUCGUGUACCGUUCUCUCGUUUCUGAAGUCUCGUUUACUGCUGGCUGAGCUAAAGUUGUAGCCGAUGGGCAACAUUAAAAAAUUCAAAGCACAGUAAAAUUGUAAAACUGAUAAAUCUCGAAAACCUAGAAUGAUGGGUGAUAAUUACAUCAGCCUAGAAAAUUAUGAGAUGCUCAAAGCUUUGUAUGAUUUCAAAGCAACAUAUGCUAAAACAUUAAGCUUUCGAGAGAACGAACACUUUAUAUUACACCAAACAAAUACAAAACAACGAAAUUGGUGGCAGGUGGUAAACAGCAUGGGGCAACUUGGAUACAUACCAUCUAACUAUGUCACCACAGUCAAGGUAUCGUGGUUUUUCUAUACCCACGAACCUAGUCGAUCAUUACAUGAUGGCUACAUUACUCCUUCUUUUUGUGGGUGUUCCCUGAUUCACCUGAAUGUAUCUAUACAGGUCCAGCCUCAAUUCUUGACUGAUUACCUUGAUGAAUGCAUACAGAAACUACAGUCUGAAAGCAUGAACCUUGGUAGUGCUUUUCCAGCAGAAAGAGAAGAUCUGUUGUUAAGGCUUCAAGAAAAAAAAAGACAAGCAGAACUUAGUAAAAAAGUGAAAAAGCAAGCACCAAUGCCCCCAGAUUUCUCUACUUCCACAUUAACCAAAGAUGCGACCAAUCAAAUAAUACGCGAUAACUCAGAUGAUGGUGUCAGAUCUGCUCCUAGUAAUACAUCGUAUACCACUGCUCAGACAACACUUCAUCACAAUACUGAUCAAGUGGAAGCACAACUUAUUGUACAAUGCCGGAGAAUGACUGUUAAUGAUCAGCGUAGGCAGCUUCCAAGGCAAUCUCUUUCUGAUACAGGACAUGGUAGUCAUUUAGAACCAGUUCAAACAAAAAAGAGUGAUUCUCAGAACGAAAUCAAUAAUUUAGGGAACUCAUCCCUAUUAAAAACUAGUUCUUCCACUUCAUGUGAAAUAAAUUCAAAGGCUGCGUAUCAGCUACUUGAUCAAGUUAGACGAAACACCCAACUUAGUCAUGAAAUGUCAAAGGUUGCCGUGGCUGUGGUUGUUUCCGGUCUUCAAGAACUUUUACCAGCUAGUUUAAGCCACUAUUUUGCUGCAGUAUUGAAUCAGCUACAAGUACCCUUGACUGCAUCGAAAAUGAGCAUAGAAGAAACGCAUGAUGCUAAUAGACUCAAAGUAAUUUUUACAGAGCUUACUUCUUGCAAAGAAGAUUCGCAACAGAGAAGUUGGAUGCUAUACGAAGACGAACCUGUUAUUGUUGAGUACAUCAAAGAACUAACAUCAAUUUUGACGAAUGCAGAUGCAAACGUUUCCCGCCAUGUAUUGAGAUCAGACCAGUAUAAUGGUGUAACAACACUCAUUCAAUAUUAUCAAAUGGAACCAAGAUGGACAAUUAGGCAGCUACUGCUACAAUCUUUUGGAGUUAUGUGUAGCCUUGAUGCUGUCAUACUAACAAUAAUGCUGAAUAGCAUUUUGCCUAUGGAGUUGGCAAGUGACAUGAGAACAUAUCCAAGGAAUGUGCCCAGGCUAAAUUAUUCCUCACUACUUCUCACUAUGAUUUUCUCAAUGGGUGAACCAAUGCCUGUCACCCAUCUAGAACAACUUGGAACAGAUUUUAUUGCUUUCCUUUUGGACCUAAUAGAAAAUCCACCAGAUACAGAUAUGGACGAUCAAAUACCAGAAUUAUUUCUGAAUCUCGUUCUUUCGUAUAACUUACAGUUUACAACUUCAGAAAAUAUGGUACUAAAUGCAUUAAAACAGCGAACUGUAGCCAAAACAUUCACAGAGAAAAUUUUAUUGCUUCUCAAUAGAGAAGAGGAUCCAGUAAGAAUAUUUGAUCACCAGCCAGCUCCACCACAUUCUGUGCUGAAGCUGUUUGUUGACCUAUUCAGUAACAGCACAACUGCAAGUUUAUUUUAUACUAAUGAUAUCAAAGUUUUGAUUGAUAUUAUUGUAAGACAGUUGUUUGAUAUUUCACCCGGAGUCAAGAAACGUAGACAAUAUUUAGAGCUCUGUCGAAGAGUAUUGAGAACUGAAAGCUACAACGAACAUCGGCAUAGAUGCGAUGAUGUGUUGAAAAGCUUCACAAGGAUAUUUUGCGAGGAAUUACCGGAGAGUAGAGCAGAUCAAAAAUUAGUACGUGAAAUCAGCAACGAAUUUCCACAUCUAUUCAAGAUGUGACAUACGCUACUACCCUCUACUACUUCAGAUGAAGAUGAAGAGGAUCUCCAUACUCUAGUGUGAAUGUACAUUGCUGAGUGAUGGUCCACCACUAAUUCAGGAUUCGAUCUCCUAUAUGUACCUUCUUGGAUAUCUACCCUUCAAUGACACAGAGGUAAAAAUAGGUGGAAAGGGUUCACGGAAUACGGAAAGCUUAAUCACAAAGCAGUAAUUACCUAAUCAAACCUGGUUACGGUUCAAACUGCAUUCAACUCCGGCAUCUCAUGUAGUUAAUUUUCAAAUCAAUCUAUCUGCUACCACUACAUUAUAAACACUGCUAAACAAUUUGAAUUAAAUUAAACUUGGUAGUCUUUGAGGAACAGUUAUGGAGGAAAUCACUACACUAUUCCUCCGUGAGGAAACCGUUGAAAAAUUUAUUUAUAAUAAAUAAUAAGGCUCAAAGGCAUUAUCUCUCGUUG